rnacentral:rRNA from 1 species
AGAGUUUGAUCCUGGCUCAGAAUCAACGCUGGCGGCGUGCCUAACACAUGCAAGUCGAACGCGAAAGUGGAGCAAUCCAUGAGUAGAGUGGCAAACGGGUGAGUAACACGUGGGUGACCUGCCUUCGAGUGGGGGAUAACUUUCCGAAAGGAAGGCUAAUACCGCAUGACAUACCGUGUUCAGAUACACGGAUAUCAAAGCUGGGGAUCGCAAGACCUGGCGCUUGAAGAGGGGCCCGCGUCCGAUUAGCUAGUUGGUGAGGUAACGGCUCACCAAGGCUCCGAUCGGUAUCCGGCCUGAGAGGGCGGACGGACACACUGGAACUGAGACACGGUCCAGACUCCUACGGGAGGCAGCAGUGGGGAAUUGUUCGCAAUGGGCGAAAGCCUGACGACGCAACGCCGCGUGGAGGAUGAAGAAUUUCGGUUCGUAAACUCCUUUCGACCGAGAUGAACAUCCCGCGAUCUAAUAAGUCGUGGGACUGACAGUAUCGAGAGAAGAAGCCCCGGCUAACUCUGUGCCAGCAGCCGCGGUAAUACAGGGGGGGCAAGCGUUGUUCGGAAUUACUGGGCGUAAAGGGUUCGUAGGUGGCCAACUAAGUCAGACGUGAAAUCCCUCAGCUUAACUGGGGAACUGCGUCUGAUACUGGUUGGCUUGAGUGCAGGAGAGGAAUGCGGAAUUCCAGGUGUAGCGGUGAAAUGCGUAGAUAUCUGGAGGAACACCGGCGGCGAAGGCGGCAUUCUGGACUGUAACUGACACUGAGGAACGAAAGCCAGGGGAGCAAACGGGAUUAGAUACCCCGGUAGUCCUGGCCCUAAACGAUGAAUGCUUGGUGUGGCGGGUAUCGAUCCCUGCCGUGCCGAAGUUAACGCAUUAAGCAUUCCGCCUGGGGAGUACGGUCGCAAGGCUGAACUCAAAGGAAUUGACGGG